AUGUAUGCACAUAUAAAUGACUCUAAUGGGACUGUUUCUACCUUUGUUAUUUCAUUUGUUUUUGUUUUUUUUCAAACAUCCCAAUCUUUGAUCGCUUCAAAGAAAAACUUAGUUUACUUUAUGUACAACCAUAACAAUGUUAGAAAAAAAGAAAAAUAUAUUUGCACAAAACUAAAUUGUAAAUUGGAAGGUAUAGAAUAUAAAGUUAAGGAUUUGAAUAAGUCAAUUGAUUUUUAUAAAAAUGUGUUAGGUUUUAAAGAAUUAGAAAGAAACACGAAUUUUGUCAAAAUGGUACUAGAUGUAAAGGAUGCAUAUAUAAAAUUAAUACAAAAGGGAGAGCAAAAUAUGAUCAUACCAGAACAUGCGUUUUUAGGAUUAGGUAUAAAUUCAAAAAAAUUCGAAAUAAGUAAAACCAAAACAUAUGAAGGAAAGGUAGAAGAAGAAAUUGAAAAAAGACCUAUCACUGCUUGUAUAUUACCAGAUGAAGACGCACAAGAAAGGAAGUACUGGACCAACUGCUUUAUAACAGACCCAGACGGUUAUGGUAUAGAAGUGGUAUUACAGGAGGAAACUGAUGAAAAUAAGCUCGAUAGGAUUAGGCUUUUUACAACAUCAACAAAAGAUGCGCAAAAGUUUUAUUCCGAUAUUUUAGGAUUCGAGCUAAUAAAAAUACAAAGCCAUUUAAACGAAAUUUCUUAUCCAUGGAAUAUUUAUGGAGGAAUGAGUUAUUUUUUUUCUUCUAAAAAAAAUAAAACAAUAUUACAAAUGGCUUAUGCUUAUGAUGAAGAUAAGCUUCACAUGGGAAAUUCCUUAGGCAAUUUGAUUAUAAGUAUUGAAGAUUUAAAUAUUGUAGAAAAAAAAACUAAAUGAAAAUAAUUUAAAAAUAGUCAAGACCGAUGAUGGCAUUAAUGUUAAAGACUUGGAUGGAUAUAGUGUUCGUUUGGAAGGAAUUACAAAAUAAUCUAAGUAGUAAAAAUUAUUUUUGCCUUUUAUUAAUCAUUAAAAUGUGUAUAUAUGUGUGGGUGUACAUAUAUACGCACUUAUACUGUAAAUAUUUUACAUUGACAAAAUGUCAAUUUUUAGCAAAAGCCAUUUUUUUUUUAAAUUUAUGUCAAUGUUAAUAAAUAAUAAUGAACGUUCA
rnacentral:lncRNA from 1 species